rnacentral:rRNA from 1 species
GACGAACGCUGGCGGCGUGCCUAAUACAUGCAAGUUGAGCGCUGAAGGUUGGUACUUGUACCAACUGGAUGAGCAGCGAACGGGAGAGUAACGCGUGGGGAAUCUGCCUUUGAGCGGGGGACAACAUUUGGAAACGAAUGCUAAUACCGCAUAAAAACUUUAAACACAAGUUUUAAGUUUGAAAGAUGCAAUUGCAUCACUCAAAGAUGAUCCCGCGUUGUAUUAGCUAGUUGGUGAGGUAAAGGCUCACCAAGGCGAUGAUACAUAGCCGACCUGAGAGGGUGAUCGGCCACAUUGGGACUGAGACACGGCCCAAACUCCUACGGGAGGCAGCAGUAGGGAAUCUUCGGCAAUGGACGAAAGUCUGACCGAGCAACGCCGCGUGAGUGAAGAAGGUUGUCGGAUCGUAAAACUCUGUUGGUAGAGAAGAACGUUGGUGAGAGUGGAAAGCUCAUCAAGUGACGGUAACUACCCAGAAAGGGACGGCUAACUACGUG